UUACUUGAGUAUUAAUAGUUAUGGUCUUGAAACUUAAAAAAUUUGGCGGUAUCUUAGUCUAUUCAGAGGAACCUGUUAUGUAAUCGAUAAUCCACGAUGGACCUAACUUAAUUUUGUUUUUCAAUUUAUAUAUCGCUGUUAUAGAAAAUUUUAUAAGAAUAAUAAUUUUCAAUUAAUUUUAUAAAAUUAUAUAUCAAGUCAAGGUGUAGUUUAUGAUUAAGUAUAUUAUGGGUUACAAUAAAUUUAUUUAAGCGAAUUUAAAAUUGAAAUAAUUUUAAUGAAGAUGGAUUUGAUAGUAAAUUUUUAAAGAUAAAAAAUUUGAUUUUAGCUCUAAGAUAUGCACACAUCGCCCGGUCGCUC
rnacentral:rRNA from 1 species